GAAUGGGGGGAAAUGGCGAAUUAAUACCAAAGUCCAAAGUAAUAAACGUAACAUUAAGUCAUAUUAAAACAUGAAAUUAUUUUUAAAAUCGGUUUUAUUGCUAAUAUAAUCUCUGCAAACUUACAAAAUCAGACUAAAUGAACACUACGUUGUCCCUUUGUUCGUUGUUAUAUUUAUAUAUACUUGUUCUUGUUUAAAUGUCAGAGGAAACUCUUCAGAACUCCGAGUUUGGACGGAACCUUCCGUGGGAGAAGAGCAGAAACCCGGUCACUUCAGAACGGACUUCAGCCAGGACAACGCACGCAGUCAAGCUGCUUCCUGCCAAAUUGUGAUAUCCGCUGAGAUUCCGCUGCUGAUCAACAAACGGAUAUAAUAAUUUAGUAGUUUAAUGACAGGGACAUGUAAUACUCCGUCACGUUUACCAGCGUAUUCGUAGUGGUAGUUUACCAUUAGUGUUUAACCGACCAUAUAUUAGUCCGUGCAUGUGUUGUAUUCUUUCAAACUUAAAUAUAGGGGCUGAAAAGAAGGGUAUCAGUCUUUAUAUUGGAUUUUGGAGUGUGCGUGUUUUUCCCCUUGUCUGAAUGUAAACAGACAUUACACCGGGUUUAUAAUAACAGCUGCAUGCUGGAAUAAAGCACGCAGGUGGCAGCUGUGGCAGGGAUUUAUAUUACAUACUGAAAAAUACAGCUCCAUCUGACCAGCUCCCAGAACAUAGGCGGGUCAAGCUGGUCUUUAGCAGCUGUGAAUGCAGUAGACAUCUCAGGAUGAGCUGAGGCUAAAGGGAAUCAGAAACCACAAAUCACCUCUUCAGAAGGACUUGAGUAGAGCCG